UCACCAAAGCCUUGUCAGCUCUGGGGGAUGGCCAAAGAGUGCCAAAAUCCCGGGUUUUGGCCUCAAAAUCUGCAGGGAUGUGGCAAUGGGAUCACCAGGAUGAUGGGAUGGCCAAAGGGUGCCAAAAUCCCUGGUUUUGGCCCCAAAAUCUGCAGGGAUGAUGGGCACGUGGCAAUGGGAUCACCAAAGCCUUGUCAGUCCUGUGGGGCGGCCAAAGGAUCCCAAAAUCCCGGGUUUUGGCCCCAAAAUCUGCAGGGAUGAUGGGCACGUGGCAAUGGGAUCACCAGGACUAUGGGAUGGUCAAAGGGUGCCAAAAUCCCUGGUUUUGGCCCCAAAAUCUGCAGGGAUGUGGCAAUGGGAUCACCAGGACGAUGGGAUGGUCAAAGGAUCCCAAAAUCCCGGGUUUUGGCCUCAAAAUCUGCAGGGAUGUGGCAAUGGGAUCACCAGGAUUGUGGGAUGGCCAAAUGGUGCCAAAAUCCCUGGUUUUGGCCUCAAAAGCCGCAGGGAUUCCCAAGGAUGACUGAGAUGAGGCAAUGGGAUCACCAGGAUGAUGGGAUGGUCAAAGGGUGCCAAAAUCCCUGGUUUUGGCCCCAAAAUCUGCAGGGAUGUGGCAAUGGGAUCACCAGGACUAUGGGAUGGUCAAAGGAUCCCAAAAUCCCGGGUUUUGGCCUCAAAAUCCACAGGGGAUGUGGCAAUGGGAUCACCAUGACUAUGGGAUGAUCAAAUGAUCCCAAAAUCCCUGGUUUUGGCCUCAAAAUCUGCAGGGAUUCCCAAGGAUGACUGAGAUGAGGCAAUGGGAUCACUAGAAUUGUGGGAUGGCCAAAGGAUCCCAAAAUCCCGGGUUUUGGCCUCAAAAUCUGCAGGGAUGUGGCAAUGGGAUCACUAGAAUUGUGGGAUGGCCAAAGGAUCCCAAAAUCCCUGGUUUUGGCCUCAAAACCUGCAGGGAUGUGGCAAUGGGAUCACUAGAAUUGUGGGAUGGCCAAAGGAUCCCAAAAUCCCUGGUUUUGGCCUCAAAACCUGCAGGACUCUGUCAGUCCCAGGAGACAGGACAGGUGUGGCAAGAGGGGUGCCAAAAAUCCCACUUUUGUCCUCAAAAUGCACAGGGAAGGAGCCCCGAGGGCCACAGGGAUUCAGGAAUGGGAUUGUGGAGG
rnacentral:lncRNA from 1 species